UGGAUCAUGAUUCAGUAACACAUACUGAUUUUUAACAAGUGUCUUCAUCUACAUUUUCUUUAUUAUCUUCAAUAAACAAGAGUUCUCAUAAUCGUGUAAUUGAAGACAGAACUAAACCUCAAAAUAAAAUAAGUCUCAUUGGAAAUCUGCCAAAAGAAUGUUACAUGUAGAAAAUAGUGCUUGAUCUACAAUUUUAUCACAAUUAUAGUAACUAUUGUAAAGCUCAAUGAAAUACAUAUACAAAAAUGUAACAAUAUUAAUAUGCUUUAAAAGACCUGA
rnacentral:lncRNA from 1 species